GCAACAACAAAAACAUGAUCAGGUUGAGGCAACAAAAACACAUGGUUAGGUUUAGGCAACAAACACACAUGAUCAGGUUUAGGCAACAAAAACACAUGGUCAGGUUUAGGCAACAACAAAGACGUGAUCAGGUUGAGGCAACAAAAACACAUGGUUAGGUUUAGGCAACAACAAAGACGUGAUCAGGUUGAGGCAACAAAAACACAUGGUUAGGUUUAGGCAACAAACACACAUGAUCAGGUUUAGGCAACAAAAACACAUGGUCAGGUUUAGGCAACAACAAAAACGUGAUCAGGUUGAGGCAACAAAAACACAUGGUUAGGUUUAGGCAACAAACACACAUGAUCAGGUUUAGGCAACAAAAACACAUGGUCAGGUUUAGGCAACAAAUACACAUGAUCAGGUUUAGGCAACAACAAAGACGUGAUCAGGUUGAGGCAACAAAAACACAUGGUUAGGUUUAGGCAACAAACACACAUGAUCAGGUUUAGGCAACAAAAACACAUGGUCAGGUUUAGGCAACAACAAAGACGUGAUCAGGUUGAGGCAACAAAAACACAUGGUUAGGUUUAGGCAACAAACACACAUGAUCAGGUUUAGGCAACAAAAACACAUGGUCAGGUUUAGGCAACAACAAAGACGUGAUCAGGUUGAGGCAACAAAAACACAUGGUUAGGUUUAGGCAACAAACACACAUGAUCAGGUUUAGGCAACAAAAACACAUGAUCAGGUUUAGGCAACAACAAAAACGUGAUCAGGUUGAGGCAACAAAAACACAUGGUUAGGUUUAGGCAACAAACACACAUGAUCAGGUUUACGCAAAAAAAAAAAAAAAAAAAAAACAUGUCGAGUUUAGGCACCAAACCCACAUGUCAGGUUUAGGCAACAAAAAAAACGUGAUCAGGUUUAGGCAACAAAAACACAUGGUUAGGUUUAGGCAACAAACACACAUGAUCAGGUUUAGGCAACAACAAAAACGUGAUCAGGUUGAGGCAACAAAAACACAUGGUUAGGUUUAGGCAACAAACACACAUGAUCAGGUUUAGGCAACAAAAACACAUGGCCAGGUUUAGGCAACAAAUACACAUGAUCAGGUUUAGGCAACAAACACACAUGAUCAGGUUUAGGCAACAAAUACACAUGAUCAGGUUUAUGCAAAAAAAAAAAAAUCACGUCGAAUUUAGGCACCAAAACCACAUGUCAGGUUUAGGCAACAAAAACACAUGAUCAGGUUUAGGCAACAAACACACAUGAUCAGGUUUAGGCAACAAAAACCCAUGGUCAGGUUUAGGCAACAAAUACACAUGAUCAGGUUUAGGCAACAAAACCACAUGUCAGGUUUAGGCAACAAAAACACAUGAUCAGGUUUAGGCAACAAACACACAUGAUCAGGUUUAGGCAACAAAAACCCAUGGUCAGGUUUAGGCAACAAAUACACAUGAUCAGGUUUAGGCAACAAAACCACAUGUCAGGUUUAGGCAACAAAAACACAUGAUCAGGUUUAGGCAACAAACACACAUGAUCAGGUUUAGGCAACAAAAACCCAUGGUCAGGUUUAGGCAACAAAUACACAUGAUCAGGUUUAGGCAACAAAACCACAUGUCAGGUUUAGGCAACAAAAACACAUGAUCAGGUUUAGGCAACAAACACACAUGAUCAGGUUUAGGCAACAAAAACCCAUGGUCAGGUUUAGGCAACAAAUACACAUGAUCAGGUUUAGGCAACAAAAACACAUGGUUAGGUUUAGGCAACAAAAACACGUGGUCAGGUUUAGGCAACAAAAACACAUGGUUAGGUUUAGGCAACAAAAACACUGGUCAGGUUUAGGCAACAAAUACACAUGAUCAGGCUUAGGCAACAAAAACACAUGAUCAGGUUUAGGCAACAAAAACACAUGGUCAGGUUUAGGCAACAAAAACACAUGGUUAGGUUUAGGCAACAAAAACACGUGGUUAGGUUUAGGCAACAAAAACACGUGGUCAGGUUUAGGCAACAAAAACACGUGGUCAGGUUUAGGCAACAAAAACACGUGGUUAGGUUUAGGCAACAAAUACACAUGAUCAGGUUUAGGCAACAAAAACACAUGGUUAGGUUUAGGCAACAAAAACACGUGGUCAGGUUUAGGCAACAAAAACACAUGGUCAGGUUUAGGCAACAAAUACACAUGAUCAGGUUUAGGCAACAAAAACACAUGGUUAGGUUUAGGCAACAAAAACACAUGAUAGGGUUUAGGCAAGAGAAAAAACAUGGUCAGGCAUAACAUACUACUACAAUCUGUGCCAUUUGGCUGCGUUAUGAACUGACGGUGCACGUCAGUGUGUCAUACUGCAGCAACAGGUUCCAUCUGGCCGACCAGCUGCACAUCAUAACACUGUGAAGGUUUCAUCCAGCCGUGUUACAAACUAACCUAGUGACAAAGUAUUUGAGGACUUUUGAAUGAGGCCAGGUGCAGACCGCACCAAGUAAAUUUCAUGUAGAUCAGGUCACAUAAGUCCUCCUGGACUGAGCACAACACUAGACCUGUAUGAGUCACUGAACUUACCAGAGAUACGAGCUCCGCAGUCGGUUCUUUGAUGAUGUGAGCUUUCAAAGGAACAUGAGACAUGAAUCAUGACAACAUACUGUAUGACAAACAAACUGCAUCAGCAAACGGGAGCAGCUGUCACGAGCUGAAUGUCGCCA